AGAGUUUGAUCCUGGCUCAGGAUGAACGCUGGCGGCGUGCCUAAUACAUGCAAGUCGAGCGAACGGACGAGAAGCUUGCUUCUCUGAUGUUAGCGGCGGACGGGUGAGUAACACGUGGAUAACCUACCUAUAAGACUGGGAUAACUUCGGGAAACCGGAGCUAAUACCGGAUAAUAUUUUGAACCGCAUGGUUCAAAAGUGAAAGACGGUCUUGCUGUCACUUAUAGAUGGAUCCGCGCUGCAUUAGCUAGUUGGUAAGGUAACGGCUUACCAAGGCAACGAUGCAUAGCCGACCUGAGAGGGUGAUCGGCCACACUGGAACUGAGACACGGUCCAGACUCCUACGGGAGGCAGCAGUAGGGAAUCUUCCGCAAUGGGCGAAAGCCUGACGGAGCAACGCCGCGUGAGUGAUGAAGGUCUUCGGAUCGUAAAACUCUGUUAUUAGGGAAGAACAUAUGUGUAAGUAACUGUGCACAUCUUGACGGUACCUAAUCAGAAAGCCACGGCUAACUACGUGCCAGCAGCCGCGGUAAUACGUAGGUGGCAAGCGUUAUCCGGAAUUAUUGGGCGUAAAGCGCGCGUAGGCGGUUUUUUAAGUCUGAUGUGAAAGCCCACGGCUCAACCGUGGAGGGUCAUUGGAAACUGGAAAACUUGAGUGCAGAAGAGGAAAGUGGAAUUCCAUGUGUAGCGGUGAAAUGCGCAGAGAUAUGGAGGAACACCAGUGGCGAAGGCGACUUUCUGGUCUGUAACUGACGCUGAUGUGCGAAAGCGUGGGGAUCAAACAGGAUUAGAUACCCUGGUAGUCCACGCCGUAAACGAUGAGUGCUAAGUGUUAGGGGGUUUCCGCCCCUUAGUGCUGCAGCUAACGCAUUAAGCACUCCGCCUGGGGAAUACGACCGCAAGGUUGAAACUCAAAGGAAUUGACGGGGACCCGCACAAGCGG
rnacentral:rRNA from 1 species